rnacentral:rRNA from 1 species
GGAUCUUUGGACCCUGCGCUACUAAGAUGAGCCACGUCGGAUAGCUAGUUGGUGGGGUAAAGGCCUACCAAGGCGACGAUCUGUAGCUGGUCUGAGAGGAUGAUCAGCCACACCGGACUGAGACACGGCCCGGACUCCUACGGGAGGCAGCAGUGGGGAAUAUUGGACAAUGGGGGAACCCCGAUCCCAGCCAUGCCGCGUGUGUGAAGAAGGCCUUUUGGUUGUAAAGCACUUUAAGCAGUGAAGAAGAAGUUAUGGUUAAUACCCAUAAUGGAUGACAUUAGCUGCAGAAUAAGCACCGGCUAACUCUGUGCCAGCAGCCGCGGUAAUACAGAGGGUGCGAGCGUUAAUCGGAAUUACUGGGCGUAAAGCGAGCGUAGGUGGCUUAAUAAGUCAGAUGUGAAAUCCCCGGCCUUAACCUGGGAACUGCAUCUGAAACUGUUCGGCUAGAGUAGGUGAGAGGGAAGUAGAAUUCCAGGUGUAGCGGUGAAAUGGGUAGAGAUCUGGAGGAAUACCGAUG